ACGGUAUCGCAUGAUACAGUGUAGAAAAACUCCGGUGGUAUAAGAUGGACCCGCGUCUGAUUAGCUUGUUGGUGAGGUAACGGCCCACCAAGGCGACGAUCAGUAGCCGGCUUGAGAGAGUGAACGGCCACAUUGGGACUGAGACACGGCCCAAACUCCUACGGGAGGCAGCAGUGGGGAAUAUUGCACAAUGGGGGAAACCCUGAUGCAGCGACGCCGCGUGAGUGAAGAAGUAUUUCGGUAUGUAAAGCUCUAUCAGCAGGGAAGAUAAUGACGGUACCUGACUAAGAAGCCCCGGCUAACUACGUG
rnacentral:rRNA from 1 species